rnacentral:rRNA from 1 species
CCAAGGCUAAAUACUCCUGACUGACCGAUAGUGAACCAGUACCGUGAGGGAAAGGCGAAAAGAACCCCGGCGAGGGGAGUGAAAAAGAACCUGAAACCGUGUACGUACAAGCAGUGGGAGCUCGCUUAGGCGUGUGACUGCGUACCUUUUGUAUAAUGGGUCAGCGACUUAUAUUCUGUAGCAAGGUUAACCGAAUAGGGGAGCCGAAGGGAAACCGAGUCUUAACUGGGCGUUAAGUUGCAGGGUAUAGACCCGAAACCCGGUGAUCUAGCCAUGGGCAGGUUGAAGGUUGGGUAACACUAACUGGAGGACCGAACCGACUAAUGUUGAAAAAUUAGCGGAUGACUUGUGGCUGGGGGUGAAAGGCCAAUCAAACCGGGAGAUAGCUGGUUCUCCCCGAAAGCUAUUUAGGUAGCGCCUCGUGAAUUCAUCUCCGGGGGUAGAGCACUGUUUCGGCAAGGGGGUCAUCCCGACUUACCAACCCGAUGCAAACUGCGAAUACCGGAGAAUGUUAUCACGGGAGACACACGGCGGGUGCUAACGUCCGUCGUGAAGAGGGAAACAACCCAGACCGCCAGCUAAGGUCCCAAAGUCAUGGUUAAGUGGGAAACGAUGUGGGAAGGCCCAGACAGCCAGGAUGUUGGCUUAGAAGCAGCCAUCAUUUAAAGAAAGCGUAAUAGCUCACUGGUCGAGUCGGCCUGCGCGGAAGAUGUAACGGGGCUAAACCAUGCACCGAAGCUGCGGCAGCGACGCUUAUGCGUUGUUGGGUAGGGGAGCGUUCUGUAAGCCUGCGAAGGUGUGCUGUGAGGCAUGCUGGAGGUAUCAGAAGUGCGAAUGCUGACAUAAGUAACGAUAAAGCGGGUGAAAAGCCCGCUCGCCGGAAGACCAAGGGUUCCUGUCCAACGUUAAUCGGGGCAGGGUGAGUCGACCCCUAAGGCGAGGCCGAAAGGCGUAGUCGAUGGGAAACAGGUUAAUAUUCCUGUACUUGGUGUUACUGCGAAGGGGGGACGGAGAAGGCUAUGUUGGCCGGGCGACGGUUGUCCCGGUUUAAGCGUGUAGGCUGGUUUUCCAGGCAAAUCCGGAAAAUCAAGGCUGAGGCGUGAUGACGAGGCACUACGGUGCUGAAGCAACAAAUGCCCUGCUUCCAGGAAAAGCCUCUAAGCAUCAGGUAACAUCAAAUCGUACCCCAAACCGACACAGGUGGUCAGGUAGAGAAUACCAAGGCGCUUGAGAGAACUCGGGUGAAGGAACUAGGCAAAAUGGUGCCGUAACUUCGGGAGAAGGCACGCUGAUAUGUAGGUGAAGUCCCUCGCGGAUGGAGCUGAAAUCAGUCGAAGAUACCAGCUGGCUGCAACUGUUUAUUAAAAACACAGCACUGUGCAAACACGAAAGUGGACGUAUACGGUGUGACGCCUGCCCGGUGCCGGAAGGUUAAUUGAUGGGGUUAGCGCAAGCGAAGCUCUUGAUCGAAGCCCCGGUAAACGGCGGCCGUAACUAUAACGGUCCUAAGGUAGCGAAAUUCCUUGUCGGGUAAGUUCCGACCUGCACGAAUGGCGUAAUGAUGGCCAGGCUGUCUCCACCCGAGACUCAGUGAAAUUGAACUCGCUGUGAAGAUGCAGUGUACCCGCGGCAAGACGGAAAGACCCCGUGAACCUUUACUAUAGCUUGACACUGAACAUUGAGCCUUGAUGUGUAGGAUAGGUGGGAGGCUUUGAAGUGUGGACGCCAGUCUGCAUGGAGCCGACCUUGAAAU